AAAACCUUGUAGUGCACUUUGCUGCACUGCAAAAUAGGAAGACACAGUUUUUCCAGUCUCCAAAGCCCCUAUCCUUUGCUGUCUUUUGGAGUGUGCAGAUGGUAACUAGGCCUGUUGCUCGGCAGCCACGUUAAGUGCGACCAGCCUCCUUACAGCGCCAACUGGGAGAGCAGACGAGAGCUCCACCUUGAUGUGUCAAAUACAUCUUCAGUGAUGCAGGUCUGCAAGCAAUCUGCUUCAAAAAUUGCAG